CUGCCUUUUGGCCACGUCUCCCUUUCGCAAUCAUUAAUGAACACACACGCUUCUCCUCGCCGCCUUUAACGGGCCUGUUUUGAGCGGUAAAGGAAGUUACAUUCAAGGCCAAGCCUUUGCUUUGUGUGUGGAUCUGUUGCUGGUUGGAGCUCUGCUUUGUCUUUUGCACCAUGGAGCACCAUUAGGAUUCCAGUUUCAGCUUGGUUGAGUGGUGCAAAAACUUAAAGACACUUGCUCGGCACAUGCUUAGAGAGGAGCUCCGAGAAGUUCUCUUUCAUCAAGUUGUGGGCAGAAAAUGACACACCGUGCAGCACAAGCCAAGUAAAGAAGCAAACUUCCCACAGAAUCACAAGACAGCCCAUCUGCAAUUCUGGGCGUAGCUGUGGUCGCAUGCCAAGUCUUUGCUCUGGAGGAGUUAAACAGAACUAACUCUUUCCCAGAACUUCUGAGAACAGUCAUGUCAGGACCCGAGUGAAGAUGCUGAUGCCAAGUAUCUGAUGACCACUGGCC